GGGGUCGUUAUGGAUUCGACAGGUAUGGGUCGAGCCAUGACUGCAUUUCGUAGGUUACGGCUACGUAAAAACGUUCAGUUUAUUAUAACUGCAAAAAAUAAUAACAAUUCUUACGCUUUAGCUGCCUAAUAGUAGCUUGACGUAGAUCCGCCUAGUCUCGUCCAUGGGCUAGAUACGGGUCCUAAAUGAAGUGGACUUGCGCUUAAGUACUGGCCUGGGUGCUUAAGAAGAGGAUUUACAGACUAGCGUUUUAAUGAAGCCCCGACAUACGGCGUCUUAUUUCGCGAAAUUUAAGUAGUAUGAAUAUGAAUGUAGAUGUCAUGGUGGCGACAUGCUUGGACGCGGGUUCGACUCCCGCCGACUCCAUUU
rnacentral:tmRNA from 20 species